CAGCAGCCACGGUAAUGCGAAGGGUGCAAGCGUUACUCGGAAUUACUGGGCGUAAAGCGUGCGUAGGUGGUGGUUUAAGUCCGUUGUGAAAGCCCUGGGCUCAACCCGGGAAGUGCACUCGAUACUACCAAGCUAGAGUACUGGAGAGGUUGGUGGAAUUCUCGGUGUAGAGGUGAAAUUCGUAGAUAUCGAGAGGAACACCGGUGGCGAAGGCGGCCAACUGGACAGAUACUGACGCUGAGACUCGAAAGCGUGGGGAGCAAACAGGAUUAGAUACCCCAGUAGUCCCUGUCUCUUAUAC
rnacentral:rRNA from 1 species